UUUGAUCAUGUGUUUGGUGACGAGAUAGCAGAGCUACCGCCGAGUGUGAAGGAAUUAGCCAAAGCAAUACCGGGACUGCUUAAUCAUGCCAGAGCGACUUCCACGUGCAGAAAGUACAAGUAUGGUUUCCGUGCUUGGAGAAAGUGGGCUGUUUCUAACGAAAUCUGUCCAAGACCAGUGAUGGCUAUAUAUUUAGAGCCGAAAACAAACCGAUGUCUUAUACUCGGUUGAGGGAAUUAUUUAUUGAAGCCUUUAAGCCUUAUGUACGUGACAUAAAAUGCUACGGUUUGCAUAGUUUGAGGUCAGGUGGAGCAACAGUGGCAGCCAAUAGAGGCAUCCCUGACAGAAUGUUUAAACGACAUGGUCGCUGGAGGAGCGAGAGUGCCAAAGAUGGCUAUGUUAAGGACAGCAUCGAAAAUAGAUUAAUAGUGUCUCUUUCUUUGGGGCUUUGAAUUGCCCGUUCUUUGUUUCCUCAGUCAGUGCACCGUACAGUACCCCAAUAUGUUGUAGUUGUGUAUUUUGUUGUGUUAAGGGGGAGAAGGAGGAGAAAUAUAAUUUCUUUCGUUUGAGGGACGAAUUAGAACGAAAUUAUUUUCUCCUAACGUCGGAAAGCACAACAAAGGGAGGUAACCUGGUUUCGAAAUGGGUAUAUAAGUAAAGGCGGGAAGUUGAAACUUCAUUCUCAGGUGCGGUGCAGUCGGGCUGGCUAUAUUAAACAUGUUCGGUUAUCUAUGAUGCCGUUUGGAGUACACGUCGGUUGAAUCUAUAUUUUUUAUUAUUUAUGUGUGUAGUACCUGCGGCUGUCAAUAUGAUGAUCAGGAUGUUAUGCGUUGCUUGCAAGUUGUGCUGGCGAGCCAUGAUAAUACGUCGUGAGAUGGAUCGGUAUCCAUAGUUGAAAUCUCGAACACUCCAGUUGUGAGAGUAUGGAUUUGGGAUAUACUCUGAUGAGUAUGCGCUGACGAGCCAUUAGAAUACGUAAUAAGGCGUCGAUGCCUGUGUAUAUGUACACGUUGAAAAUAUGAAGCAUCGAAUCUAUAUUCAUGUAAAUUACGGUUGGUUGAUGGUCAUGAUGCUGGUGAUGUCCCUGAUGCGGACGAUGUUCAUGAUAAUGUGAAUACUUGUUGAAGAAUAAACUGCGGUCAGUCAGUGCACCGUACAGUAUCCCAAUA